rnacentral:rRNA from 1 species
AUUGAACGCUGGCGGCAUGCCUUACACAUGCAAGUCGAACGGCAGCACGGGGGCAACCCUGGUGGCGAGUGGCGAACGGGUGAGUAAUGCAUCGGAACGUGCCCAGUAGUGGGGGAUAACCAGUCGAAAGACUGGCUAAUACCGCAUACGACCUACGGGUGAAAGCGGGGGACCGUAAGGCCUCGCGCUAUUGGAGCGGCCGAUGUCUGAUUAGCUAGUUGGUAGGGUAACGGCCUACCAAGGCUACGAUGGGUAGCCGGCCUGAGAGGGUGAACGGCCACAUUGGGACUGAGAUACGGCCCAGACUCCUACGGGAGGCUG